rnacentral:misc_RNA from 1 species
CCUUUAUGUCACUAUGGCUAAGGUUCCUAUAGGAGCCUUAACUAUGGCCAAAGAACCUUACAGAUUCUUUUACUAUGGCUACUGACGGCAGAAAGACUCAGUCGGUGCAAAAUAAUACAUCUGUCGAAUUUUCCUACAUUGAAGUAAUACAUAAGCAGUCUUCAUACAAAUUAAUAGGAAGUGUUCUUUCUCCGCUGCAAAAUAUUUCCCAAAUUGUGUACCGUGAAAUGUGGGAAUUAUUUUAAGUGUUGGCUAACAAAUGGUGUGAACCUCAUACGUGUGAAAAAUGUCAUAAUUGUGAGGUAUGGAAGUUGUUUAGUCAGAAAGGAAGUUGAACAUGCAUUUGCGUAUUCACACUAGAGAAAAAAAACUUUACAUGUGUGAAGUAUGUAAAGCAUUCUUUUGUCAAAACAGUCAUUUAAAGGUGCAUAUGCGUACUCAUUCAGAAGAGAAAGCUCAUCAAAAUGUAGUAUAUUUAACAUAAUCGCAUAAAUUCAUAAUUAAAUAAGUAUAUCUUCUUGAGCAAGGAAUCAUAUUUCUGUGAAAUGAAGAAAUUAAUUUUUACUGAAAUAUUCUUAGAAAUCAAACCAUGCUUAUAUAGUGCAUUAGAUAAAUAUGCGCGAAAUAUCUAAAUAUAUUUUUCAUGAUAAUCACUUGUAUAUUUGUGCAGGACACUGAAAACUAGUAUGAGAUACCCAAGAACAACCUUCGGUAAAAUUUCUGUCAAGCAACCUAUGCAGAAUAGAAACAUCCAAGUUUUUAUGAUAUCAAAGUUUAUAGUUCUCUCUAUAGCAAGGAAAAUUAAGUUCCAGUGGAAUGUAACCAUAAUUUGGAACGAGCAGUGUUUUAGAAGACCUUAUGGAUGGCAAUAUAGGAAAGAAACCUUAUGUGUGUGAAAUACGAAUCACAACUGUGUUAUUAAUGAUGGAAAUGUCUUUCGUAUUAACACUUGUCAUGAAAUAAAGCAUUAAUUGCUUCUAUUCAUGGUGAAGAAAAACUGAAGAACAUGUCCUCCCAACUCCAGUAUUAAAUGUAUCGACGUAUAAUGUUAAAAAAACCAGUAGAGGAUUAUGACAUAUACUGUUGGAAAUGAGUUUUUUCCAAAUAUUUCAAGUCAAAUCUUGGACAUACCAAGUAGAGCAACCUUAUCUGUAUAACAGAUAUAAAAGAUAAUUGGGAAACAUCAUUUCCGUGCAGUUUCUUCUAUUGUUGGCAAAUUUCAAGAGCCAUAUUUUAAAAUAAAUGAAGAAAAGUAUCACAGUAUGUCUGUGAAAACAACUGGAACAUGGAAUAUCAGAAAAAGGACACAUACGAAAAUGCGGGCAUUGCUUGACUGAAGGAUUGUUAUAAGCAUAGUUUUUUGAAGAACGUUUAUGCACAUGGUUACUAGAGUUUGGCACAGUCUGAAAAACUGGUGACUUCUAGUAACGUGUUGUGAUAAUACGAUUCAUCUAAUGGCAGUACUUAGGCUAUCCUAAAACUAUGCCAAAGAUUAAUUUGCAUUAUAAAUUCCUGAAUCCGAGAUGUGUACAUGAACUUAAUGGCUACUUUUGAAUUGACAUUUGAUCGAGCUGAUGUAAACCUGGGAAAUAAAAUGCUUAGACAGUAAAUGUGCAAGAUGAAAAGUUUAACUAAUCAAAGAUUUGGAUGUUAUCUGGAGACAAUUUGUUGAUACUGCAUGCUGAACAACAUUGUGAAAGAUUCAACUUCAGAAUUUAAAUGUUGCGAAAGCAUACCAUCAUCCAGUUUUCUGAGAUGAAAAACAAAAAUGUUCUGCAAUUUAAAAUAGUAUUUGUUACCUUUGUUAUUAUGAAUUUGCUGCGAGAUAAAAAAAAAGGUAUUAUGCAAAUUUAUCUUUGAAUAUCAGCUAUGGUGUGCCUUUCAAUAUCAAGUUUCUAAUUCCACAUGUGCACAAACAUAGGGCUGUGGCUGGAAUAUAUCAGGACUUAAAAGAGAAGGGCUAGCUCAUAGGGUUGUUCCCCUGAAACAGGCAGUGGGGAGUGAUGACAGCCAUGAUGACACUGAGCGCAGAGAUGCAACUGACAACAUAGAAAUUAGCG